UACUAGGAUGAUAGCUAUAUCAAGUGUAGAUCAUUAUGUACCAUAUAAGUUGGUUGUCCUUUUAACCAAAGAGUAUGGAGAUGCUGGUAUGACAUGCAGGAGAAAUAUAGGAGUAUAUUUCACUGAAUAUGACCAACUUUAGAGCACUCUACUGUCAAGAGUUGCUUUGAAGGGAUAUGGAUAUAAGUGUCCCUCUGACCUGAGAUCACCAUGGUGACUUGCAAGCAACUCACUAUGUUUUGUAUCAGACUACCUAAAUUUUUAAUUCA
rnacentral:lncRNA from 1 species